CGUUUGAUUCAAUCUCUUGUUGUUCACCCUCAGAAGCAAAAGAAGACAGCAGCAGAUUCAAAAUGUCGUCUGCACCGGCUAGACUGCAGGAUAUGCCUCCAAGGGGAGGGUACCAGAAAAUUCCCUUCAGUCGUGUUCCAGCGAAACAAUAUUUCACAGGAUGGCAGAUGAUCGCCGCAUAUGCCGGAUUCACAACGUUUGGCCUCUCGCUGUACUACUUGAACUGCCGAGAAGUCAAACGUGAAGAGAUAGAGAUGCGUUCCGCACGGAAUGUGAUCUACCCAUUGCUGUUGGCCGAACGAGACCGCGAGUAUCUGAAGCAGCUGAGACGAAACCGUGACGAAGAGGCAGAGUUGAUGAAGAAUGUUAAGGGCUGGGAGGUGGGCACCUGGUAUGGUGAACCCGUGUUCAAAACCCUUCCGAAGGAUAAAUUUGUCGAUCCAACCUUCCAAGAAUUCUACGUUCAUUCAGCUUUCAAGGAUUAUGCCCAUCGUAAGAAUGUUAAACUGAUGAGUUAGGAUGGUGCAGAUUGGCACCGUUCUCUUUGCAGAAAGGCAUGUACAGCGAUGGGUUGCUGAAUCAUUUGACGAUAAUUGUUUGAUGAUUCAUUCUUGUGCUCGCAGAACAAUACAUGCUCGAGAUAAGCGCAGCUGUCAUCCUUAGUUGAGGAAGUUUUGCUACUGGCAAGCGAAACCAAAUCGCAUACAACAUUUUAAAACGACAUUUACUUUCUUGGUGACUCAAUAAACGAAAUAAAUUCUAUCUAUUAAUCUCAACAA